GAGCUGCAGAAUUCGUUUAUACCCACAAGGAGCCGGCGUUGGAAAAGAGAUGUGUGCAGAUUGAAAAUCGCCCGACCGAGUAACCGAUCUCUCUGUAAUCAGACGUCUGUCUUUCCUGCAAAACUAUUCAAAACUAUUUCUAUUUCGAACGGAUCAAAAUCAGGAAAAAUGAAACCGCGCUGGUCCGGAACAAAUUGUCGGGUUCAUGGUCCCACCUAAUAUUCCAUACAAGAGCAAUCAGUGGACUGAGACUAACGGAAGUAGUUGUGCAGCAAUGGAAACAUGCGGUGACUUGUGGGAAGACGAACAAUGCAGUCACGACCGGACCUGCAUCAUAUGGCUGCAACAUUGAAGAUUAAAAAAACGUAUGUAAAUGGAUAUAUCAGAAUCAAACAGCACAACAUAAAAAAUAAAAUCUUA